GGGGGCGUAGCUCAGUUGGGAGAGCGCUUGAAUGGCAUUCAAGAGGUCAGCGGUUCGAUCCCGCUCGCCUCCACCG
rnacentral:tRNA from 1 species